CCAGAGGAUCGGACGGCCGCCGCGCCAGCGCUCGAAAGGGUGGCGGGGAGGAAAGUCCGGGCUCCACGGAUCAACGGUGCCGGGUAAUGCCCGGCGGGGGCGACCCCAGGGAAAGUGCCACAGAGAGCAGACCGCCCCGAGCGUUCGCGCGGAGGGUAAGGGUGAAAGGGUGCGGUAAGAGCGCACCGCGCUUCCAGCAAUGGCGGC
rnacentral:RNase_P_RNA from 1 species